ACGGGAGGCAGCAGUGGGGAAUAUUGGGCAAUGGGCGCAAGCCUGACCCAGCAACGCCGCGUGAAGGAUGAAGGCUUUCGGGUUGUAAACUUCUUUUAUUCGGGACGAAGAAAAUGACGGUACCGAAUGAAUAAGCCACGGCUAACUACGUGCCAGCAGCCGCGGUAAUACGUAGGUGGCAAGCGUUAUCCGGAUUUACUGGGUGUAAAGGGCGUGUAGGCGGGACUGCAAGUCAGAUGUGAAAACUAUGGGCUCAACCCAUAGCCUGCAUUUGAAACUGUAGUUCUUGAGUGCUGGAGAGGCAAUCGGAAUUCCGUGUGUAGCGGUGAAAUGCAUAGAUAUACGGAGGAACACCAGUGGCGAAGGCGGAUUGCUGGACAGUAACUGACGCUGAGGCGCGAAAGCGUGGGGAGCAAACAGGAUUAGAUACCCUGGUA
rnacentral:rRNA from 1 species